rnacentral:piRNA from 1 species
UACCUCUUUUUUAGAUGAUGUAAGUGGC